rnacentral:rRNA from 1 species
GACGAACGCUGGCGGCGUGCUUAACACAUGCAAGUCGAACGCUGAAGAUUGGUGCUUGCACUGGGUGGAUGAGUGGCGAAAGGGUGAGUAAUACGUGAGUAACCUGCCCUUGACUCUGGGAUAAGCCUGGGAAACUGGGUCUAAUACUGGAUAUGACAUGCCACUGCAUGGUGGUGUGUGGAAAGGGUUUUACUGGUUUUGGAUGGGCUCACGGCCUAUCAGCUUGUUGGUGGGGUAAUGGCCUACCAAGGCGACGACGGGUAGCCGGCCUGAGAGGGUGACCGGCCACACUGGGAGUGAGGAACGGCCCAGACUCCUACGGGAGGCAGCAGUGGGGAAUAUUGCACAAUGGGCGGAAGCCUGAUGCAGCGACGCCGCGUGGGGGAUGACGGCCUUCGGGUUGUAAACCUCUUUCAGCACGGAAGAAGCGAGAGUGACGGUACGUGCAGAAGAAGCGCCGGCUAACUACGUG